AAAUAAGGAGGGGAAGGGGACAGGAGAAAGAAAAAAAGAAAAAAAAUAGAAAGGAAAAACAAAGAAGAAGAGAGGAUGGGGACGAAGAAAAAGACGGGAAAGGAAGGGAAGAGAGAGUUGGAGAGUUUGGGUUUUUAUCGAAGGCAACCAUUUGGGUAUCUCUGGAUUUGAGGGGAGAGAAGCUAGAAGGUUUAUGUUGAUUUCCGGAAGCAAAGAUGAAGAAUUGAGAAUAUGAUCUCUUAGUGAAGGGGUUUUGCUUUGAGUUGGGUUGGUUGUUUCCGUUCUGCUCUAUGAUUCGAAAAGCAAACUGUGGAUGGAAGGAGGAGAUUUAGGAGAGGUGUUUCAGCCUUUGUUAUUCUUUUUCUGCUAUUCAAAGCUUUGAGCCUUUUGGGUUUUCCUUUUUUGGCUGUUCUUGUUUUGGGUCUGCUUAAGAACUGAGGCAACAUUAGAAGACAUAAUGCUUUGGAACAAUGUGUAUCGGCCUUUGAUGUUCAAGUAGAUAGGGCAUAUAUGUAUUAGAAUGUAAAACGAGAUGUUGAAUGAUUGGGAAAUGCUCCAUUUUAACAUUUUUGGCAUAUGGAAUGGAUUGGAUUACUCAUUUGAAGGCU